rnacentral:misc_RNA from 1 species
GUAGGUGAACCUGCGGAAGGAUCAUUACAUAUUGAGCGCGGCUGGGAUCCCCAAGGGCUGCUGCUUGCCUCUGGUAAGCGCGGCGCUUGCCCAGUCUGCGUGAAUAUUCACCCAUGUCUUUUGCGUACUUCUUGUUUCCUUGGCGGGUUCGCCCGUCAUUAGGACAAACUUAAACCUUUUGUAAUUGCAGUCAGCGUCAGUAAAAUUUAAUUAUUACAACUUUCAACAACGGAUCUCUUGGUUCUG